AGAAUCAACGCUGGCGGCGUGCCUAACACAUGCAAGUCGCACGAGAAAGUGGAGCAAUCCACGAGUAAAGUGGCGCACGGGUGAGUAACACGUGAAUAAUCUACCUCCGAGUGGGGAAUAAACUGAGAGAAAUCUUAGCUAAUACCGCAUAACACUUACGAGUCAAAGCAGCAAUGCGCUUGGAGAGGAGUUCGCGGCCGAUUAGUUAGUUGGCGGGGUAAUGGCCCACCAAGACGAUGAUCGGUA
rnacentral:rRNA from 1 species